rnacentral:rRNA from 1 species
UACGAAGGGGGCUAGCGUUGCUCGGAAUGACUGGGCGUAAAGGGCGCGUAGGCGGUUUGUACAGUCAGGUGUGAAAUUCCCGGGCUCAACCUGGGGGCUGCACUUGAUACGUAUGGACUGGAGUGGGGAAGAGGGUCGUGGAAUUCCCAGUGUAGAGGUGAAAUUCGUAGAUAUUGGGAAGAGCACCGGUGGCGAAGGCGGCGACCUGGUCCUUGACUGACGCUGAGGCGCGAAAGCGUGGGGAGCAAACAGG